rnacentral:rRNA from 1 species
GCCAGACUCCUACGGGAGGCAGCAGUGGGGAAUAUUGGGCAAUGGGCGCAAGCCUGACCCAGCAACGCCGCGUGAAGGAAGAAGGCUUUCGGGUUGUAAACUUCUUUUAAGAGGGAAGAGAAGAAGACGGUACCUCUUGAAUAAGCCACGGCUAACUACGUGCCAGCAGCCGCGGUAAUACGUAGGUGGCAAGCGUUGUCCGGAUUUACUGGGUGUAAAGGGCGUGCAGCCGGGCUGACAAGUCAGAUGUGAAAUCCCGCGGCUCAACCGCGGAACUGCAUUUGAAACUGUCAGUCUUGAGUACCGGAGAGGUCAUCGGAAUUCCUUGUGUAGCGGUGAAAUGCGUAGAUAUAAGGAGGAACACCAGUGGCGAAGGCGACUUUCUGGACUGUACCUGACGCUGAGGCGCGAAAGCGUGGGGAGCGAACGGGAUUAGAUACCCCGGUAGAA